rnacentral:tRNA from 1 species
AAGCCCCGGAGAUCCUAAAUCUCGACUCCAAGUUUGCAACUUGGCGUGUGGGCAACACCUCAGGACU